rnacentral:rRNA from 1 species
GACGAACGCUGGCGGCGUGCUUAACACAUGCAAGUCGAGCGAGGCCCUUCCUUCGGGAAGGUGCCCUAGCGGCGAACGGGUGAGUAACACGUGGGCAACCUGCCCUCAGCUCUGGGAUAACCCCGGAACCGGGGACGUAUACGUACGUACGACCACAGUGGGCGAUCGCUGUGGUGGAAAGAAUUAUUCGGCGUGAGGAGUGGCCCGGCCGGCCGUACUC